CCUACGGGAGGCAGCAGUGGGGAAUAUUGGGCAAUGGGCGCAAGCCUGACCCAGCAACGCCGCGUGAAGGAAGAAGGCUUUAGGGUUGUAAACUUCUUUUAUCCGGGACGAAGCAAGUGACGGUACCUGCUGAAUAAGCCACGGCUAACUACGUGCCAGCAGUCGCGGUAAUACGUAGGUGGCAAGCGUUAUCCGGAUUUAAUGGGGGUAAAGGGCGUGUAGGCGGGAGUGCAAGUCAGAUGUGAAAACUAGGGGGUCAAACCAUAGCCUGCAUUUGAAACUGUACUUCUUGAGAGCUGGAGAGGUAAGCGGAAUGCGGAGUGUAGCGGUGAAAUGCGUAGAUAUACGGAGGAACACCAGUGGCGAAGGCGGAUUGCUGGAGAGUAUCUGACGCUGAGGCGCGAAAGCGUGGGGAGCAAACAGGAUUAGAUACCCUUGUAGUC
rnacentral:rRNA from 1 species